rnacentral:rRNA from 1 species
UGGGGAAUCUUAGACAAUGGGGAAACCCUGAUCUAGCCAUGCCGCGUGAGCGAUGAAGGCCUUAGGGUUGUAAAGCUCUUUCAGCUGGGAAGAUAAUGACGGUACCAGCAGAAGAAGCCCCGGCUAACUCCGUGCCAGCAGCCGCGGUAAUACGGAGGGGGCUAGUGUUGUUCGGAAUUACUGGGCGUAAAGCGCACGUAGGCGGAUUAGUCAGUCAGAGGUGAAAUCCCAGGGCUCAACCCUGGAACUGCCUUUGAUACUGCUAGUCUUGAGGUCGAGAGAGGUGAGUGGAAUUCCGAGUGUAGAGGUGAAAUUCGUAGAUAUUCGGAGGAACACCAGUGGCGAAGGCGGCUCACUGGCUCGAUACUGACGCUGAGGUGCGAAAGCGUGGGGAGCAAAACAGGAUUAGAUACCCU